CAGUCGCCGGUAAUACGGAGGGUGCAAGCGUUAUCCGGAUUUAUUGGGUUUAAAGGGUCCGUAGGCGGAUCUGUAAGUCAGUGGUGAAAUCUCACAGCUUAACUGUGAAACUGCCAUUGAUACUGCAGGUCUUGAGUAAAUUUGAAGUGGCUGGAAUAAGUAGUGUAGCGGUGAAAUGCAUAGAUAUUACUUAGAACACCAAUUGCGAAGGCAGGUCACUAAGAUUUAACUGACGCUGAUGGACGAAAGCGUGGGGAGCGAACAGGAUUAGAUACCCGAGUAGUCCCUGUCUCUUAUACAC
rnacentral:rRNA from 1 species